GAGUACCGCUAUUCGGAUUCGACUAAGACAUGCGAAGCGAGAGUCUUCGGGACUCGCUGGACUGCUCAGUAAUAUAUAGUUAACUUACCCUAGACUUGGGAAUAAUCUCGGGAAACUGAGGCUAAUACCCAAUAGACAUUCUGGUCUGGAAUGAUAGAAUGUUCAAAGUUCAGGCGGUCUAGGAUAGGACUAUAUCUUAUCAGCCUGUUGGGGAUGUAAUGUAUCCUCAAAGCGAUAACGGGUACGAGCCAUGAGAGUGGAAGCUCGGAGAUGGAUUCUGAGACAUGAAUCCAGGACCUACGGGUCGCAGCAGUUACGAAACCUUUACAAUGUGUUAGCGCACGAUAAGGGAAUCCGGAGUGUCUAUCCUUUGGAUAGACUUUUGUUUACUUCAAACAGGUAGGCGAAUAAGGGGUGGGUAAGACAGGUGCCAGCCGCCGCGGUAAUACCUGCGCCCCAAGUGGUAUUCAUGAUUAGUUGGUCUAAAGCGUCCGUAGCCGGUUUGAUAAGUCCUUAGUGAAAUUCACUCGUAAACGGGUGAGCUUGCUGGGGAUACUGUUAGACUUGGGACUGAGAGAGGGUAGAGGUACUCCUGGGGAAGGGGUAAAAUCCUAUAAUCCUAGGGGGACCACCGGUGGCGAAGGCGUCUACCUAGAGCAGGUCCGACGGUGAGGGACGAAACCUAGGGGAGCGAACGGGAUUAGAUACCCCGGUAGUCCUAGGCGUAAACGAUGCCCGUUUGGUGUUACAGAUCUUACGAGGGUUUGUAGUGCCG
rnacentral:rRNA from 1 species